rnacentral:rRNA from 1 species
UACCAGCACCCCGAGUGGUCGGGACGCUUAUUGGGCCUAAAGCAUCCGUAGCCGGUUCUACAAGUCUUCCGUUAAAUCCACCUGCUUAACAGAUGGGCUGCGGAGGAUACUAUAGAGCUAGGAGGCGGGAGAGGCAAGCGGUACUUAGUGGGUAGGGGUAAAAUCCGUUGAUCCAUUGAAGACCACCAGUGGCGAAGGCGGCUUGCCAGAACGCACUCGACGGUGAGGGAUGAAAGCUGGGGGAGCAAACCGG